rnacentral:rRNA from 1 species
CAAAGGAAUUGACGGGGACCCGCACAAGCGGUGGAUGAUGUGGAUUAAUUCGAUGCAACGCGAAAAACCUUACCUACCCUUGACAUGUCCGGAAUCCCGAAGAGAUUUUGGGAGUGCUCGCAAGAGAACCGGAACACAGGUGCUGCAUGGCUGUCGUCAGCUCGUGUCGUGAGAUGUUGGGUUAAGUCCCGCAACGAGCGCAACCCUUGUCAUUAGUUGCCAUCAUUUGGUUGGGCACUCUAAUGAGACUGCCGGUGACAAACCGGAGGAAGGUGGGGAUGACGUCAAGUCCUCAUGGCCCUUAUGGGUAGGGCUUCACACGUCAUACAAUGGUCGGUACAGAGGGUUGCCAACCCGCGAGGGGGAGCUAAUCCCACAAAGCCGAUCGUAGUCCGGAUCGCAGUCUGCAACUCGACUGCGUGAAGUCGGAAUCGCUAGUAAUCGUGGAUCAGCAUGUCACGGUGAAUACGUUCCCGGGUCUU